CAUGUGGUUUAAUUCGAAGCAACGCGAAGAACCUUACCUGGGCUUGACAUGCUGGUGUAAGCCGGUGGAAACAUCGGCCCCUCUUCGGAGCGCCAGCACAGGUGCUGCAUGGCUGUCGUCACCCCCCCCCCCCCCGAUGUUGGGUUAAGUCCCGCAACGAGCGCAACUCUCGCUCCCAGUUGCCAGCGGUUCGGCCGGGGACUCUGGGGGGACUGCCGGCGUUAAGCCGGAGGAAGGUGGGGACGACGUCAAGUCAUCAUGGCCCUUACGUCCAGGGCGACACACGUGCUACAAUGCCUGGUACAACGCGUCGCGAACUCGCAAGAGGGAGCCAAUCGCCAAAAGCCGGGCUAAGUUCGGAUUGUCGUCUGCAACUCGACGGCAUGAAGCCGGAAUCGCUAGUAAUCGCGGAUCAGCCACGCCGCGGUGAAUACGUUCCCGGGCCUUGUACACACCGCCCGUCACGCCAUGGAAGCCGGAGGGACCCGAAACCGGUGGGCCAACCGC
rnacentral:rRNA from 1 species